rnacentral:rRNA from 1 species
CGGACGGGUGAGUAACACGUAGAGAACCUACCUUACACAAGGGGGACGAACGGCUGGAAACGGCUGCUAAUACCGCAUAAGCACCCAGUUUCGCAUGAAACAGAGUGAAAAGAGUAAAUCGGUGUAAGAUUGGCUCUGCGUCUGAUUAGCUAGUUGGUGGGGUAAAGGCUCACCAAGGCGACGAUCAGUAGCCGGCCUGAGAGGGCGACCGGCCACAUUGGGACUGAGACACGGCCCAGACUCCUACGGGAGGCAGCAG